CAUGUAUAAGUCACUACAUAUACAGUAUUAUCACAUAUUAUCAAAGAUUUGAUUUAAUAUUAUUUUGCACAGUAAUAAUAUAACAGUAAGUGGUUGUUGCAGAAAAGAUCCACCCUGCCCCCAACAAGGAAAUUGCUGCUGUCUGAAAGGAGAAGAGAGACAAAUUAGAUUCUAUUUCUGAUAAUAGUAUAUGUGUAUUAGAACUUCCAAAGGGGGAAACUUCCAAUUUCCUUUGCAGAGGAUGUAUGGAUGUUUUCUGGAAUGACCCAAUGUAUCAAUAUAAUUUAAUAUAACAUUAUUACCCGUUUAAUUAAGUGGUAUAUAUUUAUUGCAUGUACAGUAUACAGUAGAUGUGCAAGACUACAGACGUUAAUGUCAAUAUGUUUAAUAUAAUAAACUUGACUUGUUAGAUUCAAUGUUGUAUUAUAUGAUACAUAGUCUUUCAAAACAUGGUUUGGAAACUCCGGUAAAGUCUUUGUUCUAUUCGCGUUUAUGCAGUUUUGUGCACGGUGCACAGUCAAUUAAAGCCUGUUUUCCACUAGACGGAAUUUUGCGCGCGGAGCGGAAUUUUUCUUUGUCUUUUCUAAUUAGUUCCACCCGAGAAAUCACAACACAAAGAAAAAUUCCGCUCCGCGCGCAAAAUUCCGCCCAGUGGAAAACAGGCUUAACACAUUGUAUUUCAGUAUAAUGAACGAACCAUCCAAUAGCAACAGUUCAGUCAUUCAACCAUGCUAUUUAAAUAUUAAUAAACCUAAAACAAAGGAUAUGUGUAAGUACAGUUCAACAUAAACUCCCAGCUCAUUAUAUAAACCGCUUUGAAGUUUACUGAGUUUCCAGACCAUGUCUCAAAAGACUACUGAAUGUAUGAUAUGUCAAUUAAAUGUAAAAUAUAUCUCCAUUUUUUUGGGCGAUUUCUGUUUGAAUCAGUCUAUCACGAAAAAAUUUUUUCGAUCAGCCAAAAAUUUUCUAAGCCACAAGCCUAGCUUUAUUUGACUCAGAAAUCCGGGCAAGCGUAGUGUAAUUUAUAGUAAUCGGGAC